UGGUGGUCCAGCGGCUAAGGAUCCUGUGUUCUCACUGCAGCAGCCCGGGUUCGAUUCCCGGGCUCAA